ACCGCUUCUUACGGCGGUCGGAACCUGGAAAGCUUCGUUUUUCGCAAAGGUGACGAUGAGGAGACUAGCGAUGAUCGAGCACUGAUGAUGGCACACUGGCGUUGAUUCGUGCGCUGAUCACGGUGUGAUACGGAGCCUGGAAUCAUGGCACUGAUGGAGGCGUCGGUUGGAGUGCUUGCGGCGCCUAAGGUUUCUGAAACCCUAGGUCUUCUGUCCUUAGUUUACGGUUUGGGCCUCUUGGGCCUCAUAUAUUUUUUUGGGUUGAGGGUGUAAUGGGCCAGUGGGUAGUUUAAGUAUUUGGGCUACAGUAUAGGCUUGAGUGUAAUCGGGUUUGAAUGUUUUUGGGCCUUGUAAUAAUGGACUUUGUUUAAAAACUUUAUUUUUUCCUUGGUUUAUUCUGUUUCUAAA